UAAUUGGUAAAGGUAAAUGGCCUCAAAACAUUAGGCGCGGAUUGGUCCCUCUGUCUCACGUUAAAAAUCAAAAGUGUGGAUUUUUCCUGUUUUUCUCUCAGGUUCAAGAUAGAGGUAACUCAGCUGAGGUAUUGUGGUUUAAACCUGCAACAAAGGAGAAAGAAAAUAGGCAAAUUUACUGGAGCAAUAAGAGUACAGAAAUGUAAUGAGGGACAUCACGUAGAUGUCAGGGUGACAUAUUUUGCAGCCUUGUUCAUUGCAGUGAUGAAUCCAUAAGCCUCAGCUUGGGACAUCAUGUAGAUGUCAUGAUGACAUAUUUUGCAGCCUUGUUCAUUGCAGUGGUGAAUCCAUAAGCCUCAGUUUUUAUCUCCUCUUUCAGAUGCUCCAUUUUCAUGGUCGUUGGAUUUUUUGGCUUAUGUUUAAUUCAACGGUAAUUAGAAGCCUGAGAUAUCAACUCACUUCUCGAAUUUCAGCUAACUUAUUCUCCUUGCCCGGUGAUAAGCCCAGCAUCACUGCAAGUUCUUUUUACUACAAAUCUUUUGCUUAUGUGAUUUCCAACACUUUCUCUCAUCAAUAUGCACCCUCCACUAUGUGCAUCUUAAGUAAAGGAAAUGGUGCUUCAAUUUAUGAAUAUGGGUUCACCGAGAUUCAUCUUUCCCAUCGUCUAUACUCUACAAUGGCAGAGUCCAUUCUUGUUCAAGCUCAAAACCCAUCUCAAUUAGCUCUAGAGCUCUCUGAUGCUGUUGAUGAAAAAAGAUUUGAUGAUGCUUGGAAGGCUUUUAAGCGAUACAAACAGAUGGAAGGGUUCCCAAGAAAAUCAGUGCUAAAUAAGCUCAUAGCUAGUUUAGCAGAGAGUGGUGUUCUGCAAUGGGUCGAUAAAGCUUACAGUCUGGUAGAAAUGGCUUUCGGCGAGGGUAAACAUGAACUGUUGCAUAAAGAGUCUUUGAUAUUUCUAUCAUUUAUUGCUGCAAGGGCUGGACUGCCAGUUCAGGCAUCAACCAUCUUGAGGAAAAUGGUACAAGUAGAGGAAUACCCACCUGUUGAUGCUUGGCUUGGGGUCAUAGCCCACAUGUCUCGAACAGCUCCUGGUGCUUUUCUUGCUGCUGAGAUAGUUCUUGAGCUUGGCCACUUCUUCAAGGACAAUAGGGUGGAUCCCAGAAAGAAAAGUAAUAGUAUCCUUCUCUCUAUGAAACCCAAUACUUUCGCUUUUAAUAUUUCUUUGAUGGGUUCUCUUGUAUAUGGGUUUGCCAGAAAGGCUGAGCAGCUUCUUGAACUGAUUCCACGAAUUGGGGUGAAGCCGGAUGCCUCCUUGCUUAUCACAAUUGCACACAUAUAUGAAAAGAAUGGGAGGAUAGAUGAGAUUAAGAAACUUAGGAGGCAUAUUAAUGAGGCCUGUGGCUUGGGUGAUUUUCAAUACCAGCAAUUCUACAACUGUUACCUCGCAUGCCUACUGAAUUUUGGGGACUUGGGUGCUGCAACUGAGUUGGUUUUAGAAAUUCUUCGGAGGGCCAAGAAGGCUCAGACCUCCUUAGCCACUGCCCAAUCAGUGGUGGAAGCCAUUGCAGCUCAGAAACCCAAACGUCUCCUCCCUAAAGAACAUGACGAGAAUCGAGUUAUCAGUUCUGUUCGGCUAUUUGAAGGUCCAGCUUUAUCUAUCAUGGAGUUUAUAAAGGACCAGAAUUUCUUAAGAAUUCAAGCUGAGGCAAAGGAGCUUCUUGACUCUUUCUCAGCUCAGUUGCAAAACCGAGUUGAACUGGUGAGAACCCAAGACGGUAUCCUGUAUCCUACUGAGAAGAUGUGUGCCAAACUCGUGAAGGCCUUUUUGGAGGUAGAAAAGAUUACUGAUUUGGCUGAGCUUCUUAUUGAGGCUGAUAUGGAAGAAGGUCCAGCCUCACCUGAUAGCUCUUUUAUGGUUCAAGUGAUAAACACAUGCAUAGCUCUCGGUUUCCUCGACCAAGCCCAUGACCUUCUUGAUGAGAUGAGACUUAGUGGACUCAAAACAGGCUCUUUGGUUUACUCGUCACUGCUAAAAGCCUAUUGUAAAGCUAACCGACCCAACGAGGUUGGCUCGCUUCUACGAGAUGCCCAAAAGUGUGGUGUCCAAUUAGAUGCGAGCUGCUAUGAAGCUCUAAUACAAUCCCGGGUUUUGCAGCGAGAUGCAAAAGGGGCCAACAAAUUGUACAAAGUGAUGAAGGAAGCGAAUAUUUCACCUUCCACCCAUCAUGGGUUUGAGAGUUUAGUAAAGGGGUGUGAGGGAAAUGGGGAGCCAAAGCUCAUGGCCAAGUUAUUGGAGGAGAUCAAAAGCGAACAAGGAGCAGAUUGUGGUGUGAUCGAUUGGAACCAUGUGAUACAUUUCUUUUGCAAGAAAGGGUUGAUGCCUGAUGCUCAGAAGGCAUUUAAAAAGAUGGUGGCUUUAGGCCACAAGCCCAAUGCCCAGACUUUCCAUUCUCUGGUUACUGGUUACUCAGCCAUUGGAGGUAAGUACCAUGAGAUAACAGAACUUUGGGGUGUGAUGAAAGUGAUAUCUAGUUCAUCUCCAUUGAAAUUCGACCAGGAGCUUUUGGAUUCUUUGUUGUAUAACUUCGUUAGAGGUGGUUUUUUCCAAAGGGCCAAUGAGGUCAUUAAUUUGAUGGAGAGAGAGGGGAUGUUUAUUGACAAGUACAAGUAUAGGCAACUGUGUUUAAAGUAUCACAAAACUUUAUAUAAGAACAAGAAGGGUUCCAAGUUUCAGACAGAGGCUCAGUACAAGAGGAGGGAAGAAGCUCUGACUUUUAAGAAUUGGGUCGGCUUGGAUUGAAAGAAAUUUCACAGAGUUAGACUGAGAAAUUUGGCGAGGCAAAGGUAGAAUUUGUUGGAUUGAGACUGAAAAGCUAGUAAAAUGCUUUGAGCUGGGUCCAGAUCUACCAUACAAAAUCAAUGGUUCCAACCUCAGUACUGAGCAUAGGCUUGAAUCUGGACCCGCCAUUCAGAAGCUCGCCAACUAAGUCUUUCAAAGGCUUGGAGAAUGUGGUGAAUUGCUCAUGAGAUACUCCUAGCCGACUCCAAAAAGUUGGGAAAAGGCUCAGACAAUGAUGAUGAUACUCCUCUAGACGAUUUAAAAGGGCAGGUCGGUGAUUCAAAAGCUGUGAGCAAUGCCAUAGAGAAGAUUUUUUAAAUCGAAUGGAUAUUAAUGUUAAAAAGGUUGGGAGAUUUGAACCAGUUGCGGUCGACCUUGUACAAAUCAAAGAUAUAGUACAAGGAGAGUUUUUUAUUCCCUUUGAAAAACCAGUAAGGAUUACUAUGUGUCGUGCGGUGGUAAUUGAAUUCUGAAUACAUUGUAUUUAGAUGAAGUUCCAAAUUGUAGUUAAGGAUAAUUGUGAGACUGUUAUAGGAGAUUAGGAUGGACUGUAAGGAUCAACUAUUAUUGUACAUUGCAUUUAAGUGAAGUUUCCGAUUAUAGCACAGGAGUUCCUGUGGGUACCUUGUACAUUGAAUGUAAAUGAGUUAUCUUGCUGCAGUUUAGGAGUGACUGUGGGAUUGUUAGAGGAGAUUCAGAUGGGAAUACAAAU